ACGAAAGAAGAAUGACAACACCAGCACAACCAGAAAAUGACGAUCAACAAAGCAAUAUUUAUAAGUCGAUUCCAUACAUAGUAGGGCUAACACAGCAGAUCACACAAUACAUUAAGAGAUCAAAUGAAUUUGACAAUAUUAGCAUAGUACAUUAUAACAACAACACAGUGGGUUCAUUAUAUAAAGCUAUGAAAGGGAGGACAGAUACAUAUCAGCGUAAUAACGUAAUUUACUGUAUUGGUUUUCAACAGUGUGAUGCCAAAUACGUUGGCAUGACAACCAAUAAGUUACAAACACGUAUAUACGGACAUAAAUCUGAUGUCAAUCUCCUGGACAAAAUCACACAAAUAGAAAACACUUCAGACAAACUACAUAAACUGAGCAAUCUGAGGGAAAGAACAGCAAUGAUGAACCACUGUGUUGACACAGGCCACAGAUUUGAUCUGCAAAACGCCAAUGUAUUAGAUUGUAGCUUAAAAACAAAUAGACUACCAAUAUUAGAGAUAUGCCAUAUAAUGACAACAGAAAACAUAAACAAACGGACAGAUGUAGACGGGUUACACACAUGUUAUACAGGUAUCAUGCACACACUGAAAAGAUUAUCUCACAGAAACAGACAUAGUAGGAACGAUCUUGACACCAAUACAACAGAAAUAGAUGAAGCACAAAUGAAUCAAAAUGACGAAUAACGUAGGCAGUAAAGACGAUUGAAGUUGAACAGCUAGACAGUGAGUAAAGUGUUAUAUAGAAUUGUGGGCGAAAAAACACAGUGGAGGCGUAUAAAUGGUAGUACUAGAUCACCAAACCGACCAUGCAACAACGAAACAUAGACAACACUACAGGCUGAAUGUUUUUGGACAGCUACGAAUAAUUCUUUAUCCCUGAGGAAGAUCCAAAUCGGGAUCGAAACGUU